AUGCAAGUCUAAGUACACACGGCCGGUACAGUGAAACUGCGAAUGGCUCAUUAAAUCAGUUAUGGUUCCUUUGAUCGCUCUCACGUUACUUGGAUAACUGUGGCAAUUCCAGAGCUAAUACAUGCCAACGGGCGCCGACCUUCGGGGACGCGUGCAUUUAUCAGACCCAAAACCCAUGCGGGGUCUCCGCGCGCUCGCCCUCGGGAGGGCCGCGGCGGGCCCCGGCCGCUUUGGUGACUCUAGAUAACCUGGAGCCGAUCGCUGGCCCUCGUGGCGGCGACGUCUCAUUCGAAUGUCUGCCCUAUCAACUUUCGAUGGUACUUUCUGUGCCUACCAUGGUGACCACGGGUAACGGGGAAUCAGGGUUCGAUUCCGGAGAGGGAGCCUGAGAAACGGCUACCACAUCCAAGGAAGGCAGCAGGCGCGCAAAUUACCCACUCCCGACUCGGG
rnacentral:rRNA from 1 species